GACGAACGCUGGCGGCGUGCUUAACACAUGCAAGUCGAACGGUGAAGCGCCUUCCUUUUUGGUGGGUGUGGAUGAGUGGCGAACGGGUGAGUAACACGUGAGUAACCUGCCCCCUUCUUCUGGAUAACCGCAUGAAAGUGUGGCUAAUACGGGAUAUUCUGGGUCUGUCGCAUGAUGGGUCUGGGAAAGAUUUUGUUUCGGUGGGGGAUGGGCUCGCGGCCUAUCAGCUUGUUGGUGGGGUGAUGGCCUACCAAGGCGGUGACGGGUAGCCGGCCUGAGAGGGUGGACGGUCACACUGGGGCGAAGACACGGCCCAGACUCCUACGGGAGGCAGCAGUGGGGAAUAUGGCACAAUGGGCGCAAGCCUGAUGCAGCGACGCCGCGUGAAGGAUGGAGGCCUGCGGGUUGUGAACCUCUUUCGCCAGUGAAGCAGGCCUGCCUCGUUUGUGGGUGGGUUGACGGUAGCUGGAUAAGAAGCGCCGGCUAACUACGUG
rnacentral:rRNA from 1 species